rnacentral:rRNA from 1 species
UACGGGGGGUGCGAGCGUUGUCCGGAAUCACUGGGCGUAAAGGGCGCGUAGGUGGUUUGAUAAGGGUGUGGUGAAAGUCCGGGGCUCAACCCCGGAUCUGCCGUGCCGACUGUCAAACUCGAGGGCUGUAGAGGCAGACGGAAUUCCGGGUGUAGCGGUGGAAUGCGUAGAGAUCAGGAGGAACACCGGUGGCGAAGGCGGCCAUCUGGACGACUACUGACGCUGAGGAGCGAAAGCGUGGGGAGCGAACAGG